GGGAAUUCUCAACCACUUGGUUCAACUUUUUUUGGUAUGUUUUGGGCUUGGUGAUACUGUGUGUAGCGCGUGGUCUAUAUCACGCGUUUGACGUUUGUCUUCUGCCAGAAAGGUUAUAGAUAGCAUUAAAUAUUUACGUUUGCGGUGAGCUGUAUCCAGAAUUUUGCUUAAGCUGUACUUGAUUUAUUAUUUGGAAUGCAAUACAAACAACGGAAUGCUUCACAUACAACACAUUUGUAAAACUGCAUUCAAGACAGGUACCCAACCCCUAUGAUUAAUAAGUGAAUUUCCACCCGAGUGAUUUAACUGUUUAAUUCCCUUGGUGUAAUGUGGUUGUACAAAUGGUUGGCAACACUCAACCAACAUGUGGUGUGCAACUCAUACAAUUCUAUCUGGCAUGGCUCAAGCGAGUCAUAACACAGCAAAAAGAACUUUAUAGGCAAGUUAUAUCAUAGAAAUGGUUGUCAUUAUUUAAGAUAUAUAUAUAUAAUGCAAGCCUAAUUUCAAUUUCAAAUUAUGUACAUUGAAAUCACAAAAUUUUAUUUGAAUAUUCAGAUAAAGUAAGCAAUAGUGGUAAGAAAUGUUUGACUUGCAAUGGCCAACUUAACAUAUUAUAAGUUACUGUUCCAACAGUAGAUAUACAAUUAUGCUCUAAACAUUAGCUGUUGCAUAUCAAACUACAUCAAAAUUGAUCUUACCAUUAGGAAUUAUAUGGACAUUCAUCCAAAUUUCUUGUAACAUACCGGUUUUUGUCGUUUUAUAAAAAGACCAACUUUCACGAAAAAACUGCAUGAAUGUGUGUAAACAGUUGGUCAAACAUAAGUUAACUUUUCCACCUUGUCUCACUUUCAAACCACAAUUUCAAAAUCGUUUGCAACACAAAUCCUUAUAGUGAUGUUGACCAAGUCAACACUAUGAUAAAGGUGAAUCAAAAAUAAAAUAAUUUCGAGAAAAAAAACUUUGUCUAAAUUUGAGCCUACACUCGAAUUCAACAUGCAACUCUCACAAGCAUUUUCUAUUAUUUAUAAAAUGAAACCUAAUAACUCUCUCUCUCAUCUUUUUCAAAAGAAACUAUUAAAUCAGGUAGUGCUCUUCACAAAGUGUAAUUGCUUGAGUAUUCGAUUCGUAUUUUGGAUUAGGUUUUGGCUUUGGGUUAGAGUUUGUUUUCUCUAAAACAACAGAGCUGAAAAAUAAGGAAACCCUCCUUCCUUCUCUAUCCGGCCUGCAGCCAGCUUGGCGGUUGGCCCACUCUGCCUCCUCCCUGCUGUGGCCCACCACCCCCACCAGCCCAACUACACGCUGACCCAGCAGCCCAGACUUCACCUCAGCCAGCAGGUGACCCAAACCACCAAGCAGCCCAUGCAGCCCAGCUCCCACAGCCUGCCAGGCCGGCCGCCAGCGCCCUAGGGAAACCCUAGGCGCGGGUGCUCCUGGGAGGGAGCCAUCACCACCGUAUCUUCGCUCUAUGGUUGCGCCCUUAGCAUUCGUGCCACUCCCGAUAGCUCCCUGGAGCCCUCCCUAAUGUGUGCUACGUGACCUCGCCAAACAUGGAUGGCGAGGAUGGUCGCCUCCUUUAAAUUUCAUGUGCUUCAAUUAGUUUCCCCUCUCCAAACCUCAAAUGGUGAAGUGGGACAUGUGCUUCAAUUUAUGUAUGCAACAACUGUGUAUAAUAUUAUACCAACUUAUCUAAUAUACCAGCUUUGAAUUUGUCUAUUGGAUGUCUAUUUCCGAAUUAAGUUUCUAUCUCCCGUUCGUUUCCGUCAAAUUCCAUUCGUAUUAGUUCAUUUUCGUCUGCAUGUCCUGAUCCUAUUUUCGAUUUUAACUUAUCCAAACGUGAUUCAUCCCUCCCCCUAUACCCGGGUAUGGUCGGUCCUUGUGCAACAACAUUAUCACAUACCUUUUAGGUUGCAGCUGUCAGAUGAAAAGUUGACCAUGUUGAUCAUCAUUUUAUCCAAAUUGUGUCCGGAGUUAUUGAAUUUCUCUGUCCUAAGACCGUCUGCAGCAGUCUACCCAUAGUUUACCCAAAAGCACUGUUUUGUACUAUAGAUUGCGCUGUUCGCAGAGUAGAGUUUGAAUAUGGGUAUGGGGAUGGGUAAGCUGCUGGAGAUAGUCUAAGAUGCCUGAAAAAGAAUAAUCAAUGCUUUAGGAGCUUCUUGGAUCCAGCCAGCUUACAUUAUGUAGUUCAAUCUAGAAAUGCAAUGCUACUAUGUAGUUCAAUCUAGAAAUGCAAUGCUAAUAUGCAGCCGGCAAUUUAAACAAACCAUGAAUACUAAAGAGAGUUUGGUAGUAUGCUUAAAAUUUCCUCAAAGAAAUGCACCUUUCUUAGAGCCUGUCAGUAGAAGAAACCCACGCCUGUAGAACUGCAAGCCAACAUACCUCUCAUGCACCUCUGUGGCAAGUGCGGUCUUGCCGGAGCCACGGAUUCCCAUGAUGGAGAUCAUCUUGGGCUGCUUUAUUUUCUUUAGGCCCACUGACUCAUCGAUCAAAUGUUGUACAAGCCUGUCCCUAGGAUCACCGAUAACGACAAUAUCUCACUGGAACUGUAAUAAUUUCUAACUGGUAACUCUCAUAGGUCAUACAAAUUCAAUGACAAAAAAUAUACAUAAAUUGCCUUGCACAGAGUUACCCAACAUAGUACACAUAAAUUUCUC
rnacentral:lncRNA from 1 species